AACUAGCUCUUGCACCAUCUCUAAGGAGCUUGUAGCUAGUGACCCUUCAAGUGUAGAAAGAGAUGACAUGGUCAUGGAAAGGGUCGAGAAAGUUUCUGAGAGGGUUAGCGUUUUUGAAUCGACAGACCUUCCAGAUGAAGAAGAGGCGGAGUUCCUUAAAUCCCUUGGGUGGGACGAAAACAAUACUGAGGUAGAAGCCCUCACAGACGAGGAGAUCAGAGCCUUCUAUGAACAGGUAUAUGAGCAUAACAACACUCUUACUUCGGUUGCUUUGAUUCUCUCUCAUUGUUUUUUUUCUAAUUCAUCUGACUUUACAUACAGCACAAGGAGGUGAAGCCAUCACUGAUGCAAACGCUGCCUAUCAUUAAAGAGGCAACUGAGGACGCAACUCUCAACUCGUGAUCCGAUUUUGAAGAUAGUUUUCUCACUUCUCUUUCCUUUUUCUUUUUAGUUUUAUUACUUGGUGGAGUGGACAAGAAGGUGGGGGAGGCUUCAGUUGCACUUUUGAGUGUUGUUCUACUUCAGAUAAGCUACAAAAUGAGUUUUUGUACAUCUGUUGUUCUGAAGAUAGAAAGAGCUUUUGUUUUGCUAUAGCUUCCUUAGGUUUCUAAUGUUUGAUAUGAUGAGGGGAAGGUCAGGUCAUAAAACUUUGUUGGUGGUAUAAAGAAAAUUUAAAGGCUUUCGGUUUCUUUCUUAAAAAAUAUAAAUUUCAUCUUUUGCCAUUUUUGUUAAUUUGGUUUAGUUAAUUUCUCUGCUUUCCUCCUAGCUCUGUAGUCUAGAACCAAUCUUCUUAAAACUGGCCUGAACCGGUGGUUGAACCGGAUUCAACGGUGGUUGAACCGGAUUCAACCUUGACCUAGAGACAUAGCCGGAUUGUGUUGGUAGUAAAAUCUAAAGUAAAUCAAACUGACUAUAAACCACAAAAAUAAAAAACCGCGAACUAUUGAACUAGCUUUGAACCAAAUACGACUAUUUUGUGCAAAAUUUUGAAUUUUACAUUGACAAUUAUUUUUAUUUAAUGAACUAUUUUUCUUUUUUUAUCUAACAAUGUAUUUUAGAUAUAUAGAUUUUCAAAAAAAAAUAUUACAGAGGUUUUUAAAUUUCCACCAAUAUACUUAUACACGGUUUUAACUAUUUUACGAAGUUUUUACAAGUUACACAACCUAUAAUCUAAACUUUAACCUAAAACCAAAAUCUAAAGUAUAACUUACUGAUUUUUUUCCACUUUAUUUUGGAUUCAUAUUGAUUUCUAACAAAGACAAUUUGGCUUUCACCCACCUCAAUAGUCUAGAACAGUAAACACCAAACUCGGUUUGCUUAUGUAUUAAUAAGUUUUAUAUUUUCUCAACAUUGAGAAAAAUACAUGUCAAUGUACUAUAUGUUGUUACCUUUGCAAUUUUUGAUAUUUGUUUACCAACACUGACUAUCUUCUUAAAAUAUUUGCAUCCAAUCUCCGAUUCUCUAGAUAGAACUACAAAAAAAUUUCAUAAGUAAUUUUUGUAUGUUUAUCGUUCUAUUUGCGUAUAGCUUUCCAGACCACAUUUUAUUUGAGUAACAAAAAUGAUUUUUUAUGUUCAAAAAGCAUUUUCAUUAAAUAGUAGAGUCACAAAAAGUGCCUCCACCGAUAUGCCUCCCCAUGAGAGAAGCUACAAUCUUCCAACUAUCAGGAACAAGUGCUCUCAUUGGCACUAGGUAGUAGGCCAAGGAUGUACCCACAUUUGUUACAACUGUUUAUGAAACAGCAAAUGAUUCAAGUUUAUGAUACUUACGAGUUUAAAAGAAAAAAAAACAAGCUUUUCGUUAAUUAUGAGGCUUUUGCUACCACAAGUUACAUGAAGUGGUUCUUACUUGAUCCAAUCAAGAAAGCCAAGAGAAGCUUUCCAGUGGACUUAACCACACGGCGCAUAUCAGCUCUAAAGAGGAACAGCUAAAGGGAGCAUGGAGUUCAACACAACAGCAAAAGCAGGAGCUUCUGAAGAAAUGAUCCCAAGAUUACUAGCUGCAAGACCAAUCAGUGUGCUCACCAACGCACCACUCACCGCACUUCCCACCUUCGUCUUCUCCGACCUGUACUUUCAGAGUAGGAAAUUAAAAUUAAAAUCAUUAUAUCAAAACCAACAAUACAAUGAAAGGUGUGAAGAAUGUGUACCAUAGACCAAUAGAACCUGUGGCGAAGAGAGCAGUCCAAGUCACCCACCCACUCUUUGUUACAUGAAAUGAGAGGCGUACUUAAUUGCAAUCUCAUGAUGAGUGGGGUUUAGGGUUUUUGCACGAUUAAGAAAUUACAAAAUUUUAUUCAAUUUUUCUCGUUUAUAUAAAAACAACAAUAAAUGCAAAUAAUUCAACCAAUAAAGAAUCAUACUGCAAAAUACAAAUAGUCAAAAACAUAAAAUUGCAUUUACUUCUUACAUGGAAACUUUAAAACAUCACUUAAAAUGAAACAAUUUUUUUCUUGUAAAACACCACUUAAAAUGAUACAGAGGGAGUAUAACAAUAUGAAAAUAUGAAAUUAAAAUAGUAGGUAUUAAAUUUUAUUAAAGAAACUACUGUAGAGUAUAAAAAAUGAAUGAGUAUUGAAUUAUUAUGUGAAAGAGAGAGAAAAUGAUGUGGAAGAAAUAAAAGAUGAUGUCAAGGGUGUUGUGUGUUGAAUUUUAUUAAACAAUUCAUUUCAAUCAACACCCCUGUCCAAGACGUAGGCAGAUCCGUCGUCUCCUAGUUGUGAGAAGGCGCUGGAGUCGAGACAAAACGGCGUCGAGUGAGAGAAGCGGAGACGGAAAUGGGGGAGAAAAAUCUCCGGCGAGACCAUCGGAUACGAAGGCGAAACAGUCGGAGACGACGGCGGAAGAGGAGCAGGAGACGGAGGAAACAAGGCGAUGAGCGACGAGGAGAGAGAAGAGGAGGCGGAUCCGUUGUCUCCUAGUCGUGAGAAGGCGCCGGAGUCGAGUCGAGAUGAAACAGCAUCGAGUGAAGAUGCAAACUCUGAGUCCCGUUGUUAUUACUGCUAAUAUAUCUUCUUAGGCCAGUUAUUGCUGCUAUUAAUCUUCUGAAUCCGGUUAUUGCUGCCAAUUUAUCUUCUGAUUUGUUUACUCUUGAAAUUUGCUUACCAUUAAACAAUUGUUCAAACAUCUUCCAACCAUCGAAACAAUAAAAAAGUUAUAACAAAUAUUAAACAUUUAAUAGAAACAUGAACCGUGAAACAAAUCAAAGGUUCCCUUUGAGACCCACCACAUCCUCCUCCACCCGCUUCAACCUACCAUCCAUUUUAUCUAUUUGUUACAUGACCAAACUGAGCUGCGGCAGAUGUGGCGGAACGGGCGGCUGCAGGUGUGGGCAAGGUACGCGGAACCAAGAAAACUGUGGGCAAUGUACCCAGAGCCAAGAAACCGACACUUGACGACGUGAUAUCCGCCGUGGAGACGAUGACGGAACUAUAUGUCAGGUAUUUUUUGACAAUGCCGCAUCAAAAAGACGCGAUAUUGCCCAAUCAGAAAAGAUGGGUCCGGUUGGAACUCUGACUAUUGAGGUGGGGUGAAAGCCAAAUUGUCUUCGUUAGAAAUC
rnacentral:lncRNA from 1 species